UCAUAACUUGUACCCCCAUAACAUACCUUAAUCGGACUCCUGAAUAAUAAUCAGUAUAUGUUAAGGAACUUUGAGACGGCCCAAAAUCAGCAGGUCCAGGAGGCUCAACCCCAUCACCUUCAUUAUCCUCUUGGUUGUCAUCUAAAGUGUUCAAAGUUUCUAGAUGCUGGGACUGUGAAAGCUUAACCUGAGAUACCGGCUCAGCUUGAAAAAUCUGGGUGGGAGCACGGCGCUGAC
rnacentral:lncRNA from 1 species